AUGAACGCUGGCGGCGUGCCUAACACAUGCAAGUCGAACGGGGUACAGACGCUGAAGAUUGGAGUGCUUGCACAAGAGAUUCUUGUUGUACUUAGUGGCGGACGGGUGAGUAACGCGUGGAAAACCUGCCUCAUACAGGGGGAUAACAGGAAGAAAUUCCUGCUAAUACCGCAUAAGCGCACAGUACCGCAUGGUAGAGUGUGAAAAGAUUUAUCGGUAUGAGAUGGUUCCGCGUCUGAUUAGCCAGUUGGCGGGGUAACGGCCCACCAAAGCGACGAUCAGUAGCCGGCCUGAGAGGGCGGACGGCCGCAUUGGGACUGAGACACGGCCCAGACUCCCACGGGAGGCAGCAGUGGGGGAUAUUGCACAAUGGAGGGAACUCUGAUGCCAGCGACGCCGCGUGGGUGAAGAAGUUAUUCGUAAUGUAAAGCCCUAUCAGCAGGGAAGAUAAUGACGGUACCUGACUAAGAAGCCCCGGCUAACUACGUGCCAGCAGCGGC
rnacentral:rRNA from 1 species